GGACAGCUUCAUCCCGCCCGCCAUCACGGCGGCCUACAACGAAUGGACCAUCCCCUACUGCGCCGAGGUGGCGCCGCCGCUGAGCGUAUGCAGCGCACUCAACGUGUCUGCCGGCAACUGCACCUGCGCGACGUUGCAGCAGCAGGGCCGCUGCGCUGACAUGGGAACCGGCGGCGUGUGGCUGGGCAACACGUCGGACGCCAACCUGCGUGCCAAUGUGGCCAAGACGCUCGGCUACUGCUCUGUGACGUGCGGUCGCUGCAGCGAGGGCCAGGAGUGGUGCCGCGACAUCCCCAUCAUGCCGCUCAGCCUGUCCAGUGAGUGGAAGGAGGGGAUGAGGACACUUGUAAGGCGUUUGCAGUUUGGCUUGCUUCGUGGUUCUAACGCUUCCCGCGGUGUGGCGCCCCUCCCAUUCCAUCUUUGCCUGCAGAGAACCAGACGUGCUCGCAGAUGGUUCCGCUGGGCCGCUGCUACGAGGUGGCGCCCAAGGGCUACUGCCACGACACGUGUGGCGUGUGCAGCGGCGCAGGGCUGCCGUGUGUGGACCUGCGCUGGACAGAUCAGUACACAUGCGCCGACCUCAAGUCUUGGGGCUCGUGCAAUGACACCUGGGUCACGGACAACAACUUUUGUCGAAAGACGUGCGGCGCGUGCACGGGCAUGCCCCGGCCACCGUCGCCGCGGCCGCCUUCGCCACGCCCGCCAUCUCCUUCGCCUCCGUCGCCACGCCCACCAUCGCCGCCCUCACCUCCCUCGCCUAGCCCGCCCUCUCCUAAGCCGCCCUCGCCACCGUCUCCUCCUUCACCCAGCCCACCGUCUCCCAAGCCGCCUACACCGCCAUCCCCCGUGCCGCCCUCGCCCAAGCCUCCCGUGCCGCCUUCUCCCGUACCACCCUCACCGAAGCCCCCUGCGCCUCCUUCGCCCUCCCCGCCAUCUCCCAAGCCGCCCGCGCCCUCUCCCCCUCCGGUCCCUCCAUCCCCAAAGCCACCGUCUCCCUCGCCGCCCACACCUCCCAAGCCGCCGUCGCCUUCCCCGCCCUCGCCGUCGAACAGCCCUUGGCGUUGCACCGGCAACACGGCCGGCAUCGCUGGGUGUGUGGACCCGGCAUCCUACCCAGCGCCUGCCUCGUCAGCCAACGCAGCGACUUGCGGCGUCCUUCCUUCGUGCACAACCAUCGGCUGCCCCCAUUGCGACGCGUCGCUCAAGCGCUGGGACUCGGCUGCGACGUGGACAAAUUACGCUAACCAGGUGCCGGUGUCAGGCGCGGACAAGGACGUAACUCUUCCGCCGGGCACCCGUGUGCUGCUUUCGGGCUGCAUGCUGAGCGGGGGCUCGCGCUUCCGCCGCAUCACCGUUCCCGAGGGCAGCCAGGUAUGCGUCUUGGCGCAUUUGUGGUAAACUGCAAAUGCGGGGACCAGGACCUUGCGCGUUGGAAGUUGGGUGGUUAGCCAACGAAACCGUGUGUGUAAGCCGAGCUUGGGCGUUGCAACCCGGGCGCCUUCCCUGCUCACUUCAAUCGUGCCGUACGCGUUUUGGUCACGCCUCACACCAUGUCCCUGCCCCGGCUUUCUGUGCGCUGUGCAGCUGGUUAUAGACGACGCGCCGCUGAACCUGACGCUGACCACGCUGCUGGUGCAAGGCAACUUCAGUAUGGGCUCCGCCAGCUGCCGCCUGCAGAGCGCCAUCUCCAUCACGUUCGCGCCCGCGGCAGGAGUGCCCACCAACAUGAUGGCGCUCAAGGUGUGCAGGGAAAGCUUCUUUGGGACGGGCCCUCAGUAGGGCAUGUGGGUCGGGAUCGCCCGUGUCCAGGUGGGCUAGGUGGCAGUGUCGCGGGCAAUCAAGGUGUUCAUGCUGGACUCUGUGGCGUAGGAGCACUGUGUGUGCACUCUCCUCUUGUACACCUGCACCAAGGGUUCCCUCCCCUGCACAGGGCAUGAACACCAGCACUGUGGACAUGCACGGCGUGCUGUUCACGCCCACUUGGACGCGGCUGACUCAGACAGCGGCCCCGGGCACUCGUUGGGUGACUGUGCGCGACGCAGUCAACUGGCGUGUGGGGCAGCUGGUGGCCGUCCCUACCAGCGUGUGGAAAGACGAGUGCCGCAACCAGAACGAGGUCAGGCAGAUCCAGAGCAUCAGCGCCGACGGCAAGAACAUCACAUUCACGACGGCGCUGCAGUUUUUGCACUACGGGUAGGUUGGCGCUAACCUUCGAGUGAUGCUGUUUGGACGGCCGGGGCCCGUUUAUGUGCAUGUGGUGCCCAUAGUGACACCACGUACCAUCGCGGUCCUGGUGCAGGGGCCCCGAGUACCAGACGGAAGUGGUGCUCCUGAGCCGCAGCAUCCUGUUGCAAGGCAGCCCCGAGUCCGCGGCCGAGCUGGCGGGCGGGCACGUGCGCAUUGAGAGCAAGGUGGGUUCGCGCGAGGGCAAGGUGACCACUUGGCGGCGGCAUGCUGGUUGGCAUUAACGUGCAGUGCGAACGCGCACUUGUAUCUUCGAGUGAACCUCCGCUCACCUGGCGGUUCCCGUGAUCUGUGACGUGCAGCGCGGGCGCAUCCGCGGCGUGCUGGGCUACCGCAUGGGCCAGCAGUUUCAGAUGGGCAGCUACCCGUUCCAUUUCCACAUGGCGGGCGAGGUGCCGUCUGACAGCUACAUGACCGACAACGCAGUGUACGCCAGCUACUGGCGAGGUGCGCUUAUGGAGGCUUCAGGAUGUGUGUACUGUGAAGGCUGUCGUUGCAGAAUGGCCAUCCCAAACUUGCCCUGAUGACUGCCUUGACCGUAUGCCUACCUCUUGCCCACGCUCGCAGCCUUCACCAUCCACGGCACGCACGCGCUGACGGUGGCCAGCAACACCGCCUUCCACGUGGCCGGCUCGGCGUUCUACAUUGAGGACGGCGCGGAGGAGCGCAACCGCAUCAGCGGCAACUUUGCCGGCUUCGUGCACCCGCUGGGCCGUGUGGACACGUGCGACGCGGUUGGCAGCGUGUUCGGCGCGCCCACCAUCUACCAGUCUGCUACACUGCUGCAGCCUGCCGACUGGGCCGCUGCUGGCUUCUACCUUAGGUGGGCGCAUGGGGCUAGGGCCGCCUGUGUAUGGUUUCUUGCCUUUGCAAUAUCUGCGUGCGUGCCAUACGCUACGACUUGGUGAUUCCCACACGGGCUUCCCAUCGUUGCAGCAACGCCUACAACUACAUCGACAACAACGCGGCCAGUGGCGGCACCAGCGGCUUCAUGUUCCUGAACCUGCCCUUGCCGAUCGGGGUGAGUGCCGGUGUGUGCCCCCUCAUUGCAUGCUGGGUGGCAUCUUUCUUUCACAAUGCUCAAUCGUGACCCGGCUGGUGACUUCGUUUCACUAUGCCGCCUGUGCGUGCCCAUAUCUGCCCAGCUGAACCGCAACGUGCCGCUGGAGCCCUACAAGCGGCCCCCGCUGAGCUUCAGCGGCAACACCGCGCACUCGUCCGGCUAUCACUGGGACAAUGCGGGUGCAAUCUACUGCGGCGGUAACCUGCAGUACGACACAGACAACGUGACGCUGAUCUACAAGAUUGAGCGGUCCACGUUUGACCCCACGUGAGUCUUUGUGAGCUGCUUACAGCUUUCCCUUUCGCCCAGCCAUUUCGGCAACAUGCGCCGUACUCUCCCUCACUUACUUACCACAGAGACACGGCCAACUCUUCGUUACCGGUCAAGUUUGUGUUGCGCAACACCAAAGUGUGGCUGGGCGGCUUCUCAGUCGCUUCCUAUGGCGACCGGUUCUUGGUGAGUCAUUACGAUGCAUGUGGCCUUUGCCCCUGUGACUGCUUGCAAGCACGUUUGCUGCUGGACCGCACAUGAACCUACGCGCUACCUACCUGCGUCUUGCUUGUGCCCGCCCCCAGGUGGACGGCUUUGAGUCGCAUGACGGCACCAUGGGCGCGGCGGUGCGCGGUGACCCCAAUGAGCUGCUCAAUGCCGACCUGAACCUCAACUCCGCCCACGCCGGCUGGCUGACUGCCAACAUCCCCAAUGAGUGAGUCUUCUGCCUGCAAUCAUAGGCCAUGCUAUGCCGCUCGUCGCAGCUACCCGGUCGAUAACGCCCGUAAGCCCCAUCGCACCCGGCUGCUCCUUUGGUUUACCACUCGCAGCCUGCAACAAGGCUACCGCUUCGGUCUGCAGUUCUACGACACGUGGAUGCGGCACCUUAUGUCCAACGUCACCAUCCGCAACGUGGUGUACAGCAGCACCGAGUGGCUCACGCAGGCGGCGCUGGUGGCAUUGACCUUUUCGGACCAGUUUAAGCCGUUCCACGUGGCCAGCAUUCGGGGCAUCCGCCUAGUGAACGUGACCAAGGCGGCCGUGUUGAGCAACCCCGUGGUCCGCACUGGGUCAUGGCGCUUCUACAACUUCCUGGGUGCGGACACGAAUGGCGGGGCACGUUCCAUUAGUUUGCUUGUGUAUGUGUAAGGAAGUUUUGUACCUUUGUUGUGCCACACGCCCGUUCUUGAUCUUGCCCGAUGCACACACUGACCUGCAGACGCGGACGGUUCCUUCACGGGCACCAAGCGCCCCACGCUGGUAGCGUCCUACUCCGCCACCAACAACACCGGGCCCUGCGAUGCCGCUGCGCCCACACCCUGCACCUCGAGCUUUAACUGGUGGCGCACGGACACGGCCUGCACGGCCACGCCGCCAAAUGUGUGAGUGCGGGGUCGGCUGGGCUAUUGGCUGUGCCGGUGACUUGGCAGUGCAGGGCAACAUAGCACGCACUGCUGACACUCAACACCACUGGCAUUGCUAUCUGUCCCUCAACCAACAAACACAUGCGCAGGCCUGCAACGUCGAACGUCCUCGCGUGUGACUGGUGGGUGGAGAAUGGACGGACCUGCUGUGUGCUUUGUGGAUGCAAACAUAGCAGCUGUUGCCUUUUAUGCUGCACAUUGACGGAUACGUACAUGGGCAUUGACCCUACCUGCUUUUACUCGCCGUGUUCGCCAGGUACCCAUGGCGCACCCAGGGGCGCCUGAGGCUGGAGGUGCCGAGCUAUGACCUCACGGUAACAACUUGAUGGUCUGCACGCCUCGCUAUGAACCUUCCACGUGGGGUGUCCCAACCAACAACGUGUUAUGCGACCUGCAUUCGCGUCACGUUUGCCUUGACUACGCUCCUGCGCAGACUGAAGAGGCUGGCUGGUUGUGGCCUUCCGUCAACAACAUCAACGUGUACGACGCCGGCGUGGUGGCGCAGUUCGGCCAGACCGGCGCCAGCCGCCGCGCCACCAUCAUCACUCGGGCCGAGGGCGUGACGGGCCUGACGGGGCGCGGCGGCUGGUACGCGCACUGGAGCCUGGGCGCACCCAAGUACGUCAAGGUGCAUUUGGAGACUGUGCCCCGCGGCACCUCCAUCAUCUUUGCUACGCGCUACCCCGCCGGCACCACCUUCAGCAUCACCCGCGUGGCCAGCUCCUGGCUGGUGCCUGACGGGCAGCUGCUGCCCGCGACCAGCCUGGCGGCGGUGCUGGGCAGCGACUCCGGCGAGUUCUACUUCUUUGACGGCAAGCUGCUGUACCUGAAGCUGGUGGACCUUUGGGAGGAGCCGUACCAGGGUCGGCUGCCGGCCCGGAGCGGCGGGCUGAUGGUGCCCGGCAGCCGCUGGGAGGAGUACUAUGAGGUGACGGCCAGCAUCCCUGGCUGCUCCACGUCGCCGUACCCCAGUCAGAACGGACAAGACUUCUCUGGGCAGUUCUGUGCCAUGAACGUGAGUCAGGAUCAGGCCAAUGAGGCCAUGCAUUGGGACUGGGAGUAGGCAUGGCAGGGGCAGCAGGGGCAGGGACUGUGUGCACGUGCCCCUUUGGAACCCAGAACGGCGCCAGCCUCACCAAACCUGCCGCUGGGCCACCCUGUGUACAUACCGUAUGACAUUCUUCCUCUCCUUGCGCUCCAGGGCACUGUGGACAGCUUCAUCCCGCCCGCCAUCACGGCGGCCUACAACGAAUGGACCAUCCCCUACUGCGCCGAGGUGGCGCCGCCGCUGAGCGUAUGCAGCGCACUCAACGUGUCUGCCGGCAACUGCACCUGCGCGACGUUGCAGCAGCAGGGCCGCUGCGCUGACAUGGGAACCGGCGGCGUGUGGCUGGGCAACACGUCGGACGCCAACCUGCGUGCCAAUGUGGCCAAGACGCUCGGCUACUGCUCUGUGACGUGCGGUCGCUGCAGCGAGGGCCAGGAGUGGUGCCGCGACAUCCCCAUCAUGCCGCUCAGCCUGUCCA
rnacentral:lncRNA from 1 species